AUGGUGAAGGCGGUCGUCGCCGACGAGGCGCGCGUCAAGGCCUUCGAGGACGGCGUCGCCUCCUCCGGCGUCCUUCGAUCGCAGGUGGGGCUGGUGGUCGGGAAGCUCAGCGCCUCCUCCGACCGCGCCCUCGUCUACUCCCUGCUCCCCACGCCGCCCACCGAUGCCGGCGAGCCCGCUUGCUCCCUCCGGGCCGCUGCCCCCUCUGCUGGCAAGGCCAAGUCCAAGGGCGGGAAAGGUGGCGCCGGGGCUUCUAACGACGCGCCGCCGACUCUCCAGUUCGAUGUCGACUGGGUCGCCGAGCACGCCCGACAGGUCUCAAGGAUGCUCCUUGGAGGAAUGAGUGUCAUAGGUAUCUAUAUAUGGUCUUCUGAAGGCUCCUUCAAAGCUACUCCUUCUGCUGUUUUAUCACAGGUUAUCAGAGUGGUUUCUCAGUCAGUUCCCUGGUACGGCAGUGACUUCGAUGAGAGGCUGCUCCUUCAUCUCUCUUACAGCCCAAGAAGGUGGGCCUGUCGCAUAUGUGAGAUGGCAUCAGGAAGUCUAAGGCCGUGUGACUUCAAAUAUAGCAAAUUAUUAGCUUCGCUUCAAACUUUCAGAUGCACAUACAAUUUUGAGACGAGAUUGACAGUUGUUCAAGCUGAGCCUUUUAAGAAAGUUAUUUCAAAGGCAAUCAGUCAUCUCACGAAGGAAGUGCAGAAUGCCAAAGCCUUAAUUGAUGGAGAUCUGUUUUCGGAUGAUAUGACCAUCACUUCAGACGGCCCACACGAAGUCGAUUUGCUUGUACCAUUCAAGAACAAUUUGCCUGCCGGAGAAUGCAGUUUAGAGGGUGUUGCUGGGCUGCUUCUCUUUGCUGGAUCUGUCAGUGCGUUGGCUUACUUAGGCCCAAAAGAAUCUAUUUCAGAAGCUAUAUCUGAUCUGAAGGGGGACAUCAUUGCGAGCCUACGAAGCAGAUUAGAUAUCAUCCUUGAUGAGGCAGAUGAUGACUCUACAACUAAUGAUAUGGAGAAUUCACCAUCUCAGAAGGUUACCCAAGUUAAUUUUCAUGAGUUGAGAGAACCUUAUAGCUUCUCAUUCCCUAGAAGGAUUCUGAUUCCAUGGUUAGCUGGCUCCUAUAUUUGUGACUACUUGCAACAAUCAGAGACAACAAAGGAUGCAAUGGAGCGCUGCAAGGAAGUGAUAUCACUGGAAACAGAAGUAGACAGCUCAGUCAUAGAACCAGAAACCGCAGCAUCUACCGCCACACUAGAAUCGUUUUGGGAUGUGGUGCCUGGAGCUUCGUCACGCGCGCGGGCGGGGCCCAGUCUGAAAGAUGGGUGCCCUGAACAGGCGACGGGUUCAAGGAGAACACAAGGCAACAGUUUCAGCAUCCUAGCUGCCUUGUUUGUGCUCCUGGUGGCUCUUCUAGUUGGAUUUAUGUUUGCGUUCCCUGCCAACUCGAAAACCUGA
rnacentral:rRNA from 1 species